rnacentral:rRNA from 1 species
CUAGAUGCGAGAGUAGAGCAUAUCAAUAAGCGGAGGAAAAGAGAUGACCUACCUACGCUUAGGAUGUUGACGAGACUGUCGAUCUCAUCUAUACAUGACUCUGCGCAUAUCAAUAAGCGGAGGAAAAGAAACUAACAAGGAUUCCCUUAGUAACGGCGAGUGAAGCGGGAAGAGCUCAAAUUUGAAAUCUUCAAGGUUCUACCUUGACGAAUUGUAGUUUAAAGAAGUGUUUUCUGUUAGAUGAGUAGCAAAAGUUCCUUGGAAUGGGACAUCAUAGAGGGUGAGAAUCCCGUAUUUGGUUAUUCAUUCUAGCUUUGUGAUACACUUUCAAAGAGUCGGAUUGUUUGGGAAUGCAGUCCAAAAUGGGUGGUAAAUUUCAUCUAAAGCUAAAUAUUGGCGAGAGACCGAUAGCGAACAAGUACCGUGAGGGAAAGAUGAAAAGAACUUUGAAAAGAGAGUUAAACAGUACGUGAAAUUGUCAAAAGGGAAGCGUUUGACACCAGUGUUGUUUUUCCGAAAAUCAAUUAAGAAAUGGCUUGAUUUUGUGUUGUAUUGACCUUAUCAGCUUUCUGCACUUUUUUCGAGUCUUUCUUAAUGCACUUUUCGGUUAACAAGUCAACAUCAAUUUCUUUUGUUGUAGAAGAGUAUUCGGAAGGUGGCUUUCUUUUCGGAGAAAGUGUUUAUAGCCCUAUACUUCUACAAUCGGAGAGAUUGAGGUCUGCAGCGUAGAUCCUUCGGGGCUAGAUACAUUUGUGCUAAGUUGUAGCUUUUCAUAGACAACUUGUUGACUAUGUUUAGUCAUGCGGCUUACUCGCUUAUGCUAUUUUACCUACGCUUAGGAUGUUGAGCGCAUGUCUCUCUCU